AGCGAACGCUGGCGGCAUGCUUAACACAUGCAAGUCGCACGGCUGGGGUAACUCAGCAGUGGCGGACGGGUGAGUAACGCGUAGGUAUCUAUCUCCGGGUGGGGGACAACUGUGGGAAACUACAGCUAAUACCGCAUGAAACCCGAGGGUCAAAGCAGCGAUGCGCCUGGAGAGGAGCCUGCGUACGAUUAGCUAGUUGGCGGGGUAAAGGCCCACCAAGGCGACGAUCGUUAGCUGGUCUGAGAGGAUGAUCAGCCACACUGGGACUGAGACGGCCCAGACUCCUACGGGAGGCAGCAGUGGGGAAUAUUGGACAAUGGGCGCAAGCCUGAUCCAGCAAUGCCGCGUGAGUGAAGAAGGUCUUCGGAUUGUAAAGCUCUUUCGACGGGGACGAUGAUGACGGUACCCGUAGAAGAAGCCCCGGCUAACUUCGUGCCAGCAGCCGCGGUAAUACGAAGGGGGCUAGCGUUGCUCGGAAUGACUGGGCGUAAAGGGCGCGUAGGCGGUUCGUACAGUCAGACGUGAAAUUCCCGGGCUCAACCUGGGGACUGCGUUUGAUACGUGCGGGCUUGAGUUCGGAAGAGGGUCGUGGAAUUCCCAGUGUAGAGGUGAAAUUCGUAGAUAUUGGGAAGAACGCCGGUGGCGAAGGCGGCGACCUGGUCCGAUACUGACGCUGAGGCGCGAAAGCGUGGGGAGCAAACAGGAUUAGAUACCCUGGUAGUCCACGCCGUAAACGAUGUGUGCUGGAUGUUGGGCAGUCUGACUGUUCAGUGUCGUAGCUAACGCGAUAAGCACACCGCCUGGGGAGUACGGCCGCAAGGUG
rnacentral:rRNA from 1 species